CAAACAGGACAAUGAUAAAUGGUGAAUGCGGUCGCUUCCCACUUUAUCUAGAAGCACAGAUAAAAGUUAUCAAAUACUGGGUAAAGCUCUUGAAUAUGCCUGCAUCAAGAUUUCCUAAGAAAUGUUAUAACAUGAUGUA